GAUGAACGCUAGCUAUAGGCUUAACACAUGCAAGUCGAGGGGUAACGAGAGGAAAGCUUGCUUUCCUUGUCGACGACCGGCGCACGGGUGAGUAACGCGUAUCCAACCUGCCCCCAACUAGGGAAUAACCUUGCGAAAGUAAGACUAAUACCCUAUAAUUUCCUCAGAUGUCAUCUGACGAGGAAUAAAGAUUUAUCGGUUGUGGAUGGGGAUGCGUCGGAUUAGCUUGUUGGCGGGGUAACGGCCCACCAAGGCACCGAUCAGUAGGGGUUCUGAGGGGAAGGUCCCCCACAUUGGAACGGAGACACGGUCCAAACUCCUACGGGAGGCAGCAGUGAGGAAUAUUGGUCAAUGGGCGGAAGCCUGAACCAGCCAAGUAGCGUGCAGGAGGACGGCCCUAUGGGUUGUAAACUGCUUUUAUACAGGAAUAAAGUUAGCCACGUGUGGUUAUUUGUAGGUACUGUAUGAAUAAGGACCGGCUAAUUCCGUGCCAGCAGCCGCCGUAA
rnacentral:rRNA from 1 species